rnacentral:rRNA from 1 species
GCCUACGGGAGGCAGCAGUGGGGAAUAUUGCACAAUGGGCGAAAGCCUGAUGCAGCAACGCCGCGUGAGCGAUGAAGGCUUUCGGGUCGUAAAGCUCUGUCCUAAGGGAAGAUAAUGACGGUACCUUAGGAGGAAGCCCCGGCUAACUACGUGCCAGCAGCCGCGGUAAU